rnacentral:rRNA from 1 species
UACGUAGGGUGCAAGCGUUAAUCGGAAUUACUGGGCGUAAAGCGUGCGCAGGCGGCUUUGCAAGACAGAUGUGAAAUCCCCGGGCUUAACCUGGGAACUGCAUUUGUGACUGCAUGGCUAGAGUGCGGCAGAGGGGGAUGGAAUUCCGCGUGUAGCAGUGAAAUGCGUAGAUAUCUGGAGGAAUACCGGUGGCGAAGGCGGCAUCCUGGACCGAGAUUGACGCUGAGGAGCGAAAGCUAGGGGAGCAAACGGG